rnacentral:lncRNA from 1 species
UUUUUAAAAGCGGAAAUGUCAAAUUUAUAUUUUGAAUUUUAUUAGAAUACACAGGAUAAAUCACAAGAAAUAGGCGCCCGAAGUUCGCCAAAACCUCUCUUUAGAUUUUAUUGAAAAUGGUGGACGUGAAGGAUUAUAACGUGGUCGUAUUGGGGUUGUCUUUUAUGUUCAUAUUUACGGCGUUUCAAACAACUUCUAUGAUAGAGGUAUAAACCUAGUUUAAUUCAUAAUUUCUUAUAAAACAUUGCGUAAAAUACGACGAAUUGCACUGUUUGCAGUAGUUUUUGUGCUGUUUGAUGUCAGUUUAUUCAUGUGGCCAAAAAUACAGAAUGAUUUUUUGGGUAUUAUCAAAUUAGUGUUAAUUAUUGUAAUUUUGAAAAUCACGAGUUAAUCACGAGACCAGAUCGUAAGGGGGUGAGGGGUUCAGUGUCCAUACUGCACUCGACCUUGAAAUGCAAAAAAUUUUACCUUCAAUCAAAACAUUUUUACAUCCUGUAAGGCAUGCCACAACCCACUUUUGUCUUUUGUAUGAUAUACAUACAACCAUGAACCAUCCAUGAAUCUGUGAUGCAUAUCAUACGUACAGGCAUACUUUUUAUUUGUGAGGACAUGACAGUCACCCCCUCACCCUAACCCAAACAUUCCAAGUUGUUCCGGUUUUCAGAUGAAAUAUGUGCUUCCAGAAAGUACAUCAUCUUGGCCAUAGAUGCAGUACUAUUUGAUUUACUUUGUAUAAUUUAGUCGGCAUGUACUAAAACCCGAAACAACCGGAAUGAAACCACCGGAACGAAACCACCGGAACGACCAGAACAAGAAUCUGAAAUGACCGGAACCACCGAAACCAAAAUCGAACACGAUCGGAACAAAGUAGUAGAACACUAAAUAACUAUCAUUCCGAUCGUGUUCGAUUUUGGUUUCGGUGGUUCCGGUCAUUUCCGACUCUUGUUCCAGUCGUUCCGGUGGUUUUGUUCCGGUGGUUUCGUUCCGGUGGUUUCGUUCCGGUUGUUUUGGGUUUUAGUACAUGCCAAUUUAGUCUAGCACAUCUAAAGUAUGGGAAACGACAAAACGCGGACCCCAGGUCCGUGGACUACCUUCGUGGACCUGGUCCGUUGACUACCUUCGUGGACCACUCUCAUGGACCACUUGCGAGACACCAGAUUUUUGGGGUUUGAAUUCUUGACUGUGCAUGCAAAAAUGUGCUCGAGUCGAGUUUAGUCAUUAUUAUCAUUGUGGAAACUUUACACAAAAUGUGAAGAACUUUCUAAAUCCAUUCACUACAUGACCGUUCUAAAAUAUAAGUGUGCAAUUACGACUUUAAUGCAAAGUUUCCGAAUAUAUGCCCUUAAAAUUGGUAGUUUUUUUUCUCGAUUGCUACAGGAAAUGCAAGAAAAGCAGUAAUCGAGCUUCAAAAAUUAAUAUUUUUGGGAGAGGACCUUCAGGCAUUGAAAGGUCAUUGCAUCUUACGACUUCUACAGUUCAAGUGAUUUUUUAACAGUAAAAUUCGAAUAAUUCAGUAAAAUCCUUUGACCCCCCCCCCUCCCCUCCAGAUUCUCCACAGUAUUCCUAUAUUUUUUAAUGGAACCCUGACUACAUCCAAUUUUUUCAGAAUUUUUACAGACUUAGUAUUUACUGUUCAUCAACAAAAACUGAAUUGAUUGUGUAAUAAAUAAUGGAAAUGAAUAAUGAAAUAGUUCCCGCCAUUCUCGGCUCCCUAAACUCGGAAUAAUAGUGCUUGGUCUAUUGUUCAGUAGGCGAAAUUUUGCAAGUGGUCCACGAGAGUGGUCCACGGGAGUGGUCCGUGGUCCACGAGUGUAGUCCAUGGACCAGGUCCACGAAGGUAGUCCAUGGACCUGGGGUCCGCGUUUUGUCGUUUCCCCUAAAGUAUUGCCAUUUAAAUUAAGUAUUACAACAUAUAUUGCUUUAUAUUUUCAACAGGAGAGCAUAUUAAAAAGUGCAAAAAAUGAAAGUGUACCUCAUAGUGCAUUUAAAGGCAAGUUGAAAUUACCAUGCAGUUUACUAGAUGUGUUGUGCAUUUUAAUGAAUUAAAUCAAAGUAGCCCUACAUUAAUUUUUAUUUUUUUGUUUCCAGCAAGUGGAUAUAACAGGUACUGUAAAUUUAUAUGUUGUUAAAUUUAAUAUCAUCAUGAACUAUUUCAUCAUGUUCCUCUAUUAUUUGAAAAUCUAGGUUCUCUCAAGCAGGACAACAAAUUUUGUUGCAUUCUGCAGCAUUAGAACAAUACGAAUAAUUGCUGAAGUUCUUAGUACUGUAUUUAUUGAUGUUGGCUGAAUUUCUUUUCCAUUCAUUUCAGCUUGUGUAUAAUUUAUGCCAGCUUUUCAUUAUUUAACUGGAUUGCUCCACCUAUUAUUGCUUUCAUUGGUUCCAAAUUUUCCAUGAUGCUUGCUGGAUUUUGUUAUUGGC